rnacentral:rRNA from 1 species
GACGGAGGAUGCAAGCGUUAUCCGGAAUGAUUGGGCGUAAAGCGUCUGCAGGUGGCAGUUCAAGUCUGCUGUGAAAGACCGGGGCUUAACUUCGGAAAGGCAGUGGAAACUGAACAGCUAGAGUAUGGUAGGGGCAGAGGGAAUUCCUGGUGUAGCGGUGAAAUGCGUAGAGAUCAGGAAGAACAUCGGUGGCGAAGGCGCUCUGCUGGACCAUAACUGACACUCAGGGACGAAAGCUAGGGGAGCGAAUGGG